GAUGAACGCUAGCGAUAGGCCUAACACAUGCAAGUCGAGGGGCAUCACAUGAAGUAGCAAUACGGAUGGUGGCGACCGGCGCACGGGUGAGUAACACGUAUGCAACCUGCCUUCAACAAGGGGAUAACCCGUUGAAAGACGGACUAAUACCCUAUAACACAGGGGUCCCGCAUGGGAAUAUUUGUUAAAGGACAACCGGUUGAAGAUGGGCAUGCGUUCCAUUAGCUAGUUGGCGGGGUAACGGCCCACCAAGGCAACGAUGGAUAGGGGAACUGAGAGGUUUAUCCCCCAACUGGUACUGAGACACGGACCAGACUCCUACGGGAGGCAGCAGUGAGGAAUAUUGGUCAAUGGACGCAAGUCUGAACCAGCCACGUCGCGUGAAGGAAGACGGCCCUACGGGUUGUAAACUUCUUUUAUACGGGAAUAAAGUGCCCCACGCGUGGGGUUUUGCAUGUACCGUAUGAAUAAGGAUCGGCUAACUCCGUG
rnacentral:rRNA from 1 species